AUUGGGCGUAAGCGCGCGCAGGUGGUUUCUUAAGUCUGAUGUGAAAGCCCACGGCUCAACCGUGGAGGGUCAUUGGAAACUGGGAGACUUGAGUGCAGAAGAGGAAAGUGGAAUUCCAUGUGUAGCGGUGAAAUGCGUAGAGAUAUGGAGGAACACCAGUGGCGAAGGCGACUUUCUGGUCUGUAACUGACACUGAGGCGCGAAAGCGUGGGGAGCAAACAGGAUUAGAUACCCUGGUAGUCCACGCCGUAAACGAUGAGUGCUAAGUGUUAGAGGGUUUCCUCCCUUUACUGCUGACGUUAACGCAUUACCCACU
rnacentral:rRNA from 1 species